UAAUAUGAUACCUCCAUAUCAAAAUUAUGUGAACAAACAAAGUAUUGUAUUUCAUUCAGUUGUAAAUCUUUUUCCAAAGUCUGCAUCUUCUGUUUCAUUUAUGAAUAGACAGAUUGCUCUUAUUACUAGGAGUGGUGUGAGCUCCUCAGAAUCCACUCCUAGUAAUCCUCAGGAUAUUACAACUAGCAUGCCAUGCAUAUUUAAAAUAUCAGGUGACUAUUCACAUUCAUAUUUUCUUAUUUUUAUCUAAAUAUCAAUGAAAAUGAAAUAAUAUUGCCUAAUUUACACAAAUUGAUAAUAAAAUUCAAGCACUAUAAACAGGAUUAUAUGCAGUUUACAUUUUAAUCAAUUUACAGUUAAUUAAGCC
rnacentral:lncRNA from 1 species